CAACCCUCAGGCCCUGCCUGGCGUUGGAGGACUGCACCCGCAGCCUCCCAAAGCAAGCGGCGGCGGCGCCCCAAAACCGAACGCAGUAGUUUUCUCUCGUUCUGGGACUGGGACGUUGUCUUGCCGGAAAACCCCCAACUUUUACGU
rnacentral:misc_RNA from 1 species